GUCCAGACUCCUACGGGAGGCAGCAGUGGGGAAUAUUGCACAAUGGGCGCAAGCCUGAUGCAGCCAUGCCGCGUGUGUGAAGAAGGCCUUCGGGUUGUAAAGCACUUUCAGUCGUGAGGAAGGUUUAUGCGUUAAUAGCGUAUAGAUUUGACGUUAGCGACAGAAGAAGCACCGGCUAACUCCGUGCCAGCAGCCGCGGUAAUACGGAGGGUGCGAGCGUUAAUCGGAAUUACUGGGCGUAAAGCGCAUGCAGGUGGUUUGUUAAGUCAGAUGUGAAAGCCCGGGGCUCAACCUCGGAAUAGCAUUUGAAACUGGCAGACUAGAGUACUGUAGAGGGGGGUAGAAUUUCAGGUGUAGCGGUGAAAUGCGUAGAGAUCUGAAGGAAUACCGGUGGCGAAGGCGGCCCCCUGGACAGAUACUGACACUCAGAUGCGAAAGCGUGGGGAGCAAACAGGAUUAGAUACCCUGGUAGUCCACGCCGUAAACGAUGUCUACUUGGAGGUUGUGGCCUUGAGCCGUGGCUUUCGGAGCUAACGCGUUAAGUAGACCGCCUGGGGAGUACGGUCGCAAGAUUAAAACUCAAAUGAAUUGACGGGGGCCCGCACAAGCGGUGGAGCAUGUGGUUUAAUUCGAUGCAACGCGAAGAACCUUACCUACUCUUGACAUCCAGAGAACUUUCCAGAGAUGGAUUGGUGCCUUCGGGAACUCUGAGACAG
rnacentral:rRNA from 1 species